UACGUAGGGGGCAAGCGUUGUCCGGAUUUAUUGGGCGUAAAGAGCGUGUAGGCGGCCAGGCAGGUCCGCUGUGAAAACUCGAGGCUCAACCUCGAGACGUCGGUUGAAACCGUCUGGCUAGAGUCCGGAAGAGGAGAGUGGAAUUCCCGGUGUAGCGGUGAAAUGCGCAGAUAUCGGGAAGAACACCCGUGGCGAAGGCGGCUCUCUGGGACGGUACUGACGCUGAGGCACGAAAGCGUGGGGAGCAAACAGG
rnacentral:rRNA from 1 species